rnacentral:rRNA from 1 species
UGCCUGGGAAAUUGCCCUGAUGUGGGGGAUAACCAUUGGAAACGAUGGCUAAUACCACAUAAUAGCUUCGGCUCAAAGAGGGGGACCUUCGGGCCUCUCGCGUCAGGAUAUGCCCAGGUGGGAUUAGCUAGUUGGUGAGGUAAAGGCUCACCAAGGCAACGAUCCCUAGCUGGUCUGAGAGGAUGAUCAGCCACACUGGAACUGAGACACGGUCCAGACUCCUACGGGAGGCAGCAGUGGGGAAUAUUGCACAAUGGGCGCAAGCCUGAUGCAGCCAUGCCGCGUGUAUGAAGAAGGCCU